AUCUUAUUCCAAGCAUUCCAGUAACUUUUUUUGUGUAUGUACUUAGCUGUACUAUGUAAGUAGUUGGUUUGUAUGCUAUGGUUAAGAA
rnacentral:miRNA from 1 species